UUGUUGGUAAGGUAAAAGCUUACCAAGGCUUCGAUCAGUAGCUGGUCUGAGAGGACGACCAGCCACACUGGGACUGAGACACGGCCCAGACUCCUACGGGAGGCAGCAGUGGGGAAUUUUGGACAAUGGGGGCAACCCUGAUCCAGCCAUGCCGCGUGAGUGAAGAAGGCRUUCGUUGUAAAGCUCUUUCAGCCGGAACGAAACGGUUACGGAUAAUACCCGUGACUACUGACGGUACCGGAAGAAGAAGCACCGGCUAACUACGUGCCAGCAGCCGCGGUAAUACGUAGGGUGCAAGCGUUAAUCGGAAUUACUGGGCGUAAAGCGUGCGCAGGUGGUUUUGUAAGUCAGAUGUGAAAGCCCCGGGCUCAACCUGGGAACUGCGUUUGAAACUACAAGACUAGAGUGUGGCAGAGGGGGGUGGAAUUCCGCGUGUAGCAGUGAAAUGCGUAGAGAUGUGGAGGAACACCGAUGGCGAAGGCAGCCCCCUGGGUUAACACUGACACUCAGGCACGAAAGCAUGGGGAGCAAACAGGAUUAGAUACCCUGGUAGUCCAUGCCCUAAACGAUGUCAACUAGUUGUCGGGCCUUUACGGGCUUGGUAACGUAGCUAACGCGUGAAGUUGACCGCCUGGGGAGUACGAUCGCAAGAUUAAAACUCAAAUGAAUUGACGGGGACCCGCACAAGCGGUGGAUUAUGUGGAUUAAUUCGAUGCAACGCGAAAAACCUUACCUACCCUUGACAUGUAUCGAAGCCCGCAGAAAAGCGGGGGUGCCCGAAAGGGAACGAUAACACAGGUGCUGCAUGGCUGUCGUCAGCUCGUGUCGUGAGAUGUUGGGUUAAGUCCCGCAACGAGCGCAACCCUUGUCAUUAAUUGCCAUCAUUUAGUUGGGCACUUUAAUGAGACUGCCGG
rnacentral:rRNA from 1 species